rnacentral:lncRNA from 1 species
UGAUCCAGCAGGACAAACAUUCCCACCAGGCAGGCCAAUUAAUAAGAUGGCUUAACACCCAGCCUCUCAGAACACGGAGGAGCUCUGUGCCCUCAGCUCCUCCUGGGCUGUUAUUUAACAAUUCUCCAGGCUAAAGGAUCAUGCUGUAGAAUCUUGCAGCAAGCAAAGGGCCUUGUGAAGGUGUCGAAGACAGAGCCUCAUUUAUUCUGGCGUGGUUGUGAAGAUCGUGCUCACCACUGAACCACAGCCAGUUUCUAAAGAUGACGGGCCCAGCAAUUCCGUCAUGGGCGUCUGCUUCAUGAGCCCAUUGUAAGGGCUCAUCCUCCUCCCAGAGCAGCACAGAUUACAAGGCAGCCUCUGGAGGCAGCUGGCCUUGGAUUCCACUCCCAGCAGCUCCAGUUUCAAGCUGAGUAACUUGGGGGAAUUACACAAGCGUUACUUUCUUCAUCUGUAACGUGGGCCCAGUAUUACUUCCCAGUUAGCAGCAUUGUUGGGAAGAUUAGAGACACUGUGUUGACGGUACCCAGCUCAGUAAUUGGCACUCCACAGACCACUGCUGGGUUGGAGCCUAUGUUUGCCGGUUUCCCUUUCUAUGAUUUUGCCCCUGUGUGAUGUUCUGAAUAAAGCACUGGUUUGGGGCAGCUGGACCCAAAGGUUUGAGUUCCUUCUGUGCCCUUAGCAGCUGUUGCAAUUCGGGGUGAAGUCUAUGAUCUUCCAAAGAUUUUUUUUUCAUCAUCAGUAACAUGGAUGUAAUAACAUUACUUGUGGUUAAGAUUGAAACGGGCAGUUGUAUAUAAAAUGCUUCUUUUGCAGUGCCUGACAUAUACUAAGCACUCUAUAAAUGUUUGUUAUAAAUAUUAAGUAGGACACGCACUUUGGAAUCUGCAAAGGCUUUGGUUACAUGUGGAAGAGGAUAUUGCUACCCCUCCUCCAAAAUGUAGCAAAGGAAAUCCAGAAAGUUGGAUCGACAUUAAGAACUUCUAUUUUUCAACCCUGAGGUUAUGCCAAGUGCAGACCUGUUUGCACUUAUUGGCAAAAUAACUUUCCAGGGUGUGAAAAAACCAUUAACUACAGUCUAGCUCUUUCUGAAAUAAAUACAUGGGCACACUAUUGGGGAAAAGUAUAAACCCAAAUCAGAGUACUGUUUACUAGGCAACUUGAAUGUGUGGAACCCAGAGCUGGGUCUGGGUGAGUGGAUACUGAAUCCAAUUACCCUGCAAGGCUACUUUUACAGCCCCAUGUCUGAAAGCAGGAGGGGCCCAGAACUCAUCGAAGAUGAGUGACUGAGCUCAGAGGUGACUGAGUUUGAACUUGAGCCACCUCUCGGUCAGUGGGGCUGCCCCUGUUGUAGCCUUUGCAUACACAGUCUCUCAGCUGUCCCAGGACAUCAGACAAGACAAGUGUUCGUGUCUCUUUUGUAGAGGAGGGAACUGAGGCUCAGAGUGGUUGUGGAACUGGCAUGUGCUUACACAGCUGGAGGCAGAGUUGAGACCCACACCUCUUAACCACACCCGUCCUGCUCCAAGCUCAGAACCUGGAUGGCUUCCCUGGCUGGCAGAACCUGCCCACAGGCGUGCCCAGGGUGAUGAAGGAGAACUAAGCUUAUCCAAGAGUCCCUUAGAGAAGUGACAUGUUCCCAUUAGUCAUCCCUGCCUCUUUAUGUACUCCAGAUGAAACACAUUAGCAGAAAUAUGGCAAGGGACAUUCACAAUACUCUGUUCUACACUCUCAGCAGUUUUUGCAAAUCUGCAAUUAGUCUAAAGGGCCUGGGUAAAUUAGGCCUCUUGAUAAAUGAAGCACCUAGACAGGCCUCAGAUUUAUUGGAUCCCGCUGUCCCGCUGUCCCAAGCCCUUGUCAGCUCCUUGAAGAACGGGGACUCUGCAGGGGGAGAGGAAGGAGAGGGAGCCAGUUCAGGCCUAGAAUUGCCCCCAAGUCUUGCAAUAGACCGGGCUUGAGACCGCCACCUCUUUGGUCUUAAAAAUUUCUGCGUGUAGUAGCAGAUGAAGUAGGAAGCCAUUGCCGGCUAGUUUGGGGGGUGGGGUGGGGGCAAGAGACAGGAGAGAUGAGGGGAGAGGCAGGAUCUGUGGGAGAUGUGGUUUUGCUACAGCUGGGAGGGAAGGGUCACUAGAGGCCUGCAAGUUUCACAGUUCCCUGUCCCUCUCUGGGCCACCCCACCUCUCCAAUUCUGGGAAUUGGCCAUGGGUACCACCAAUGGGCCCCACCAAGGCUCUCUCUCUGGGUUCUGGUUUUUAACCAUUACUUCCCCAAGUCCAGUUUUCCACAUGCUUCCCACAGUACACUACAUGUGUGUUUGAACUACACGGAUUCUAGGAAAAUACCCACUUCCCACAAAGGGGGAUUGUUGAUAAUGCCUUAAAGCAAACAUCCAGGGGCAAGGAGGCUGUCAGAGGUUAUGAUGCAGGUAAAGGGGACAGAUGGGGAGGGGACAGCAUGAGCAUAUUAUCCUGAUUUAUGUCUCCAAAUAGUAGGCAGCAAUUCACAGCCAUACUGGGGGGAUACCUGCUAACUAUGCUGCUAUGGAUGCCUUGGUGGCUGCGGGUGCUGAGGUCAGCUGAACCAGGCCAUGAGAAGACCUGGCAGAUGUGCAGAUGUUUUUGGGGGUGGCAAGAGUAAUUUUUUGUUAGGUUCCUCUGAUUUAUUUAUUUUUGCAUUUUCUCUCUUGAUUACUAGAGUAAUGCCUGUUUGGGGAUGGAGGUACACAGUCUGAAUUCUUUAAUUGAAAAAGUAGUAAUAGAGGCUUGUAUAGACCAUUUAAAACUGAGGUUGUGUGUGUGUGUGUGUCUAUCUGUCUGUCUCCCCUGUCUUUUUGUUAUAAUGUCAGGAUCUCUCUCUGGGUGUCUAGCUCCCUCCUCUCAAGAACCCUCCAGGCAUGCUGUGGCCCUUUGGCCCCCUAACACUGUCCCCCCAACUGAGUGCUUUGUCACUCAGCUACUAGUAGUCCAGCCAGCUGGGCUGACAGCCUAGCGGCAGAGUCAGGAGCACCCCAGGGUGUGAGUGUUCCAAAACCUCACACUCCCAGAGGCAGUAGCGGGUGGUGCCUGGCUGACAUGCGCCUGCAGCCUGCUGUGAUUCAGUGUCUCUGGUCUGCAGAUCAGUUGGGCGAUUCUCCUGUCAGCCCACAUUGAUUUUCUUGUAGAUUACAUUACCUCCAAUCACAAAAGAAAUUGUGCUCCUCUCCUGCAGUGUCAGGGCAAAAUGAAUAGCAAACAUUUUCCUGCAGGCAGCUCUGCUCUCCCAUCAAAGGCAGACUACUGUCUAUGCCCACCCCCUUCUCCAAGCCUUUCCUCUCUGACUCAGUGAAAAAGUUUCCCAGCUGAGAUGGGGCAUCGACUCCAACUUGGAGUGUUCAGGAUGCCCAAUUAUGCUGCAGUGAGAUCCUUCUGUGUCUUAAGACCUUCUAAAUUAUGGAAUUAAGAGGGUUUAGAGACAGGGGAAAGAGUUGGUGACACCAGAUGUGUUCAGAAUUUAGAAUGAGCUUUCUCAUAUAUUAAAAAUGACACUUUGAAUAUCAUCAAAGAGAUUGAACAAUUUUUAUUCCUUUUAAAAGUUGCUUUAGGUACUGAUUGGGGUCUCAGCUCUGUGUAUGUGCAGGUGUGUGUGUGCUGUAAGGGCCUCUUCUACUAUGUUUGGUGCCAGGUCCACCUUCUGAAACCCUCACAUGUGGGGACAGCCACGAGCAUGUGGGCAGCUUUGGCACAGAAUCCUGGCACUGUAGAUGAGGAGAGGCAUCAGCACUUUUCAGACAACAAACAAGCAGCAGAAGGCAGGCGCCAGUCUCCAAAGUGGGCUUUGUGGAAGAGGCAAGGUCUGUGUCUGGCUAACAACCAGCCUGUAAAGACUGGGUGAGGAAGAGGCACCAGACACUUGAAGAGUAAGAUGGCAUCUUCUCUCUAGGGGCACCGGAGUGGCCACACAAACACACAUCUCCACCCAAUUGAGUGUGGGUUUCAGUAUAUCCAUGUGAGUACACUGCAAUAAUGAGAGCAAUGAUUUCACUUGAUAACUUAACCAAUAGUUAUUAAGCAAGUACCAUGUGCCACACAUUGGGUAAGUGCUCGAUCACUUAUCUAUCCUCCCGUUUAUCAUGUAAGUCUAAUCCUCACUAUACAGAGGGAGACAGCAUCCUUGUUUUACUGAUCAGAAACAGAGCCCCAGAGAGUGUAUGUGACUAUACAAAGUAUUAUAGGUUGAACUGUGUCCCCCUACAAAAUAUGCUGACAUCCUAACCCUCCGGACCUGUGAAUGUGACCUCACAUGGAUAUUUUGCAGGUGCUCAAGUUCAGAUGAGGUCAUAGGACCUGCAUUCUUUAAAAAAAAAAAAAAUGGGGAUUUAGAUUGGAGGGAAGACUAUGAGAAAACAGAAGUCUACGAGACAAGGAAAGCCAAUGAUUGCCAGUAAACCACUAGAAGCUGGGAAAGAGGCCUGGAUAGAUUGUUCCCUCACAGCUCGAAAAAGAACCAACCCUGCUGACCCUUGGUCUCAGAAUUAUAGCUUCCAUAACUGUGACACGAUCACUUUAUGGGAUUAGAGACAAGAUGUAAGUAUAGAAGGACUUGAGCUUGCCUCCUCUCAUGAGAACACUGAAAUCACAACUGCAGAGCAACCACUGACAAAACUGGAAAGUACCAAAAAAGACAUCCUAUACUCAAAAGACAAGGAAGAAGCCACAAUGAGAUGGUAGGAGGUGUACUCAUGAGAUAUAAGCAAAUCCCAUACCCGAUAAGUGGGUGAUCCACUAACUGGAAAAUAACUAUACUGCUGGGGAUCUCCCACAGAAAUGAGAGUUCCAAAGCCUACAUCAGGUUCCCCAGCUUGGGGUCUGUGCUGGAAAGAGAAGCACCCAGAACACUGAAGACCAGCAGGGCUUAAAUGCAGGAGCUCCACAGGACUGUGGGAAAAAGAGACUCCACUCUUGGAGGGUGCAUACAUGAUUUCACAUGCCCUGGUCCCAGGGCAGAGUAGGGACUCCAUAAGAAUCUUGGCCAGACCUACCAACAGGCAUUGGAGGGUCUCCCAGGGAGGCAGGGGUUGGCUGUGGCUCACUGUGGAGGAAGGAAACUGGAGGUGGAGGUCCCAGGGCUUAAUCAUUGGUGUGAGCUUGCCUGGAGGCUGCCGUCUUGGAAAAAUCUGGCCCCACCCAACAACAGCCUACAGUCAUGAGUGUUGAAAAGCUCAAGGCCAAAUAACCAGCAAGGUGGGAACAGAGACCCACCCAGCAGCAGAGAGGCUCCCUAAAGUCUUCCUAGGCAUACAGCCACCUCUAAUCACACCCCUCAAUAUGGCUCUGAUUACAAGAAGGAUGAGUUACAGCUCUACCCACUGGUGAGUGGGUAGGCACCAGUCCCUGACAGCAUGAAGCUGUCAAAAGCCCCUGGGUCAACUUCACCCUCUGAGGGCAGUCACCAGAAGCAAGAGGAAUUACAACCUUGUAGCCUACAUAAAGGAGAACACAAAGAUAGACAAAGUGAAACAGCAGAGAAAUACACUCCAAAGGAAUAAGACAAAACCCCCAGAACAGCAACUAAGAGAAGUGGAGAUAGGCAGCCUACAUGAAAACCUACAUGAUGACAGGAAAGAUGAUCCAAGAUCUUGGAAACAAAUGGAAGCAAAGACCAAGAAAUUACAAGAACUGUUUAACAAAGAAAGAGAAGAUUUGAAAAAGAGAUGAAUAAUAACUGAAAUGAAAAAAUAUGCUAGAAGGAAUCAAUAGAAGAGCACAUGAAGCAGAAAAAUGAAUAAGUGAGAUAGAAGACAGUCAGGUGGAAAUCACUGAUGUGGAACAGAAUAAGGAAAGAAGAAUGAAAAGAAGUGAGGACCGUCUAAGAGACCUCUGGUACAACAAAUGCACCAACAUUCACAUUACAAGGGUCUCAGAAGGAGAAGAGAGAGAGAAAGAACCAGAGAAAAUACUUCAAGAGAUAAUAGCCAAAAACUUCUCUAACAUGGGAAAGGAAACACUCAAUUCUAGGAAGCACAGACGUAUCAUACAGGAUAAACCUAAGAAGGAAUAUACCAAGACACAUAUUAUUUGAGCAAAAUUAAAGACAGGGAAAAUAUUGGAAGCAGCCAGGGAAAGGCAAUGAAUAACAUACAAGGGAACUCCCCUCCCCUAAGGCUAUUAGCUGCUUUUUCAGCAGAAACUCUUACAGGCCAGAAGGAAGUGGCCAAUAUAUUUAAUGUGAUGAAAGGGAAAAACCUACAAUCAAUACACUACCCAGCAAGGCUUCUGUUCAGAUUUGACAGAGUAAUCAAAAGCUUUACAGGUAAGCCAAAGCUAAGAGAAUUCAGCACCACCAAACCAGCUUUACAACAAAC